rnacentral:rRNA from 1 species
AUUGAACGCUGGCGGCAUGCCUUACACAUGCAAGUCGAACGGAUCUAGGGGCUUGCUCCUAGGUUAGUGGCGAACGGGUGAGUAAUGCAUCGGAACGUACCCAGUCGUGGGGGAUAACGUAGCGAAAGUUACGCUAAUACCGCAUACGUCCUGAGGGAGAAAGCAGGGGAUCGCAAGACCUUGCGCGAUUGGAGCGGCCGAUGUCGGAUUAGCUAGUUGGUGGGGUAAAAGCCUACCAAGGCAACGAUCCGUAGCUGGUUUGAGAGGAUGAUCAGCCCCCCUGGGACUGAGACACGGCCCCGACUCCUACGGGAGGCAGCAGUGGGGAAUUUUGGACAAUGGGCGAAAGCCUGAUCCAGCCAUGCCGCGUGAGUGAAGAAGGCCUUCGGGUUGUAAAGCUCUUUUGUCAGGGAAGAAAUUUUUUGAGCUAAUACCUCGGGAGGAUGACGGUACCUGAAGAAUAAGCCCCGGCUAACUACGUG